UAGUCAACGAAAGUCACUUAAACUCUGUUUUGGCUUCCUCGUCUGGAAGAUGAAAAUGGUAAUAUAACUGACUGAGUAGGGUUGCUGUAAGUAUGAGUUAGUGUGUAAAUGUUUACAAUUACGCAGGGCACACAGCAAGCGCCACGUUUUCUAUCAGGGCUACUCUCACCUAACGCGUAAAACAGGAUGGCAUGCCCAGCGGGAUCCGGGCCCUGGGUUCUCAGGCAUUGUGAUUGGUCUCAGCAUAUGACGCAAGGCGGGCUUCAUUAAUGAAAUUGCUGUCAAUUAGCGAAGGGCGGAAACCAGGCGAAGAGGGCGGUCCUUUAGAACCACACUCGCGCGACUGGCUCCUCUCUUUACAGGCUUAGCUACUGCGCAUGCCUCUGGCCCUCUUGAGGUCCCGGCGUGCCCCGCAACAGCUUCCGGCGUGCUCCGCAACAGCUUCCGGCGUGACGCAGUAGAAAAGGUGGCGUGGCUGGCGAUUCGUGUUCGUGAGGGCCUUUUCUGGAGUGAGCCUGUUUACAAGAGGACAAUAUACUCAAGUCUUGACAACAUGUUUGGAUCUCCAAGGCCAGUUUAUAGAUGGAGUCUCACUCUGUUGCCCAGGCUGGUCUCAAAC
rnacentral:lncRNA from 1 species